CUGNNNNGGCAGGCCUACACAUGCAGUCGAGCGGAUGAAGAGAGCUUGCUCUCUGAUUCAGCGGCGGACGGGUGAGUAAUGCCUAGGAAUCUGCCUGAUAGUGGGGGACAACGUUUCGAAAGGAACGCUAAUACCGCAUACGUCCUACGGGAGAAAGCAGGGGACCUUCGGGCCUUGCGCUAUCAGAUGAGCCUAGGUCGGAUUAGCUAGUUGGUGAGGUAACGGCUCACCAAGGCGACGAUCCGUAACUGGUCUGAGAGGAUGAUCAGUCACACUGGAACUGAGACACGGUCCAGACUCCUACGGGAGGCAGCAGUGGGGAAUAUUGGACAAUGGGCGAAAGCCUGAUCCAGCCAUGCCGCGUGUGUGAAGAAGGUCUUCGGAUUGUAAAGCACUUUAAGUUGGGAGGAAGGGCAUUAACCUAAUACGUUAGUGUUUUGACGUUACCGACAGAAUAAGCACCGGCUAACUUCGUGCCAGCAGCCGCGGUAAUACGAAGGGUGCAAGCGUUAAUCGGAAUUACUGGGCGUAAAGCGCGCGUAGGUGGUUUGUUAAGUUGAAUGUGAAAGCCCCGGGCUCAACCUGGGAACUGCAUCCAAAACUGGCAAGCUAGAGUAUGGCAGAUGGUGGUGGAAUUUCCUGUGUAGCGGUGAAAUGCGUACAUAUAGGAAGGAACACCAGUGGCGAAGGCGACCACCUGGUCUAAUACUGACACUGAAGUGCGAAAGCGUGGGGAGCAAACAAGAUUAUAUACCCUGGUAGUCCACACCGCAAACGAUGUCUACUAGCCGUUGGGAUCCUUGAGAUCUUAGUGGCGCAUCUAACGCAUUACUUCGACCGCCUGGGGAGUACGGCCGCAAGGUUAAAACUCAAAGAAAUUGACGGA
rnacentral:rRNA from 2 species